rnacentral:lncRNA from 1 species
CUAAGGUCUUAGGCCAUAUAGGCCGGACUACUGGUACUAUUGGUUAGUCUUGUUGAGUCAAGAGUCUAGUUAGGAUCUUGAACUUUAUCUUUAGGUUAGGUUCUAGAUUGAGUUUGUGUUGUGUGAGUGUGCCGACAGUAUGUGUGUAACCCGCCCAUACUAGGCUUGUUUAGGGGUGAUUAGUGUUUCCUCGGCCUCGUACCCAGCGGGUUCAAGGAAACCCCUUAUUCGCUGGAUCAGGAAGACUCAGACGAACGGGGUCAUGUCCUAUGGCUGAGUAUUACACGACGGUGUAAUGAGGCAGUGACCCGAAGGACUGUGGGCUGUCGCGCGGUGACCCGAAGGACUGUGGGCUGCGGUCGGUUGAAAGUUCUUUCUUCUGGCCUUUGUGGUAGGGAGAUAGGAUAUUGCCGAUAGAGAGGAGGAACACGAAGUCACCAGGGCCCAGGUUAGAGUGUUGUGUUAGUGUGUCGUAGAGGGUUAUGGAACCCUCGAGUUAAUGUAGCAUCGAUAUACGGUGUUAUGAAUUAGAUCGAGUCUUGGUAGUUACUAUCUUAUUAUUAUUGUGAUUGUGGUUGAUUGAUUUGCUUGCAGGUUUCUGACAGUAAGUCUUAAUUCUGGCUCAGGUACCGGAUUAGGGUUGGUGUGUAUUUCGUUAGUGUAGGCCUGACGUUGGCAUUUAUGUGUUUGAGUGAUUGCUUGUGAAGGGUGGUGGAUAUUAAAGCUAUGUGGUAUCAUUGGUUGGCUGAUCAUGUUCUUGUCUGAUUGUUGGUCGACCGGUUAAUGAUACUUGUAUGGUCUAAGGGUCUAACACUACAUGAGUACUGAACUCAAGCGUAUAUAUGGUUAACCAGAGAUUGGUUGUUGACUUGUUUUAGUGCAGGUUCCCGUUACU